rnacentral:rRNA from 1 species
GGGAUAAGCGGAAGAAAUUCCGUCUAAUACCGCGUAAUAACUCCGAGAGGCAUCUCCUGGGGUUUAAAGGGUAACACCGGCUACGGAUGGCCAUGCGGCGCAUUAGCUAGUUGGCGGGGUAACGGCCCACCAAGGCGACGAUGCGUAGGGGUUCUGAGAGGAAGGUCCCCCACACUGGUACUGAGACACGGACCAGACUCCUACGGGAGGCAGCAGUGAGGAAUAUUGGUCAAUGGGCGCGAGCCUGAGCCAGCCAAGUCGCGUGAGGGAAGACGGUCCUAUGGAUUGUAAACCUCUUUUGUCGGGGAGCAAAAGACGCCACGCGUGGCGUUCCGAGAGUACCCGAAGAAAAAGCAUCGGCUAACUCCGUGCCAGCAGCCGCGGUAAUACGGAGGAUGCGAGCGUUAUCCGGAUUUAUUGGGUUUAAAGGGUGCGCAGGCGGAAGAUCAAGUCAGCGGUAAAAUUGAGAGGCUCAACCUCUUCGAGCCGUUGAAACUGGUUUUCUUGAGUGAGCGAGAAGUAUGCGGAAUGCGUGGUGUAGCGGUGAAAUGCAUAGAUAUCACGCAGAACUCCGAUUGCGAAGGCAGCAUACCGGCGCUCAACUGACGCUCAUGCACGAAAGUGUGGGUAUCGAACAGGAUUAGAUACCCUGGUAGUCCACACAGUAAACGAUGAAUAAUAAUUGUUCGGG